rnacentral:rRNA from 1 species
UACGGGGGGGGCAAGCGUUGUUCGGAAUUACUGGGCGUAAAGGGCUCGUAGGCGGCCAACUAAGUCAUACGUGAAAUCCCUCGGCUUAACCGGGGAACUGCGUCUGAUACUGGAUGGCUUGAGAUUGGGAGAGGGAUGCGGAAUUCCAGGUGUAGCGGUGAAAUGCGUAGAUAUCGGGAGGAACACCUGUGGCGAAAGCGGCGCACUGGACCAUAACUGACGCUGAUGCGCGAAAGCUAGGGGAGCAAACAGG